CACAUAUGAAACGAGGCUUACCCGUGUGUCCACUCUCACUGUAAAAAGCUGCACAGCUUCAGGUUUAUGGAUGCGUUCUGCUGUCGACAUGCUGCGGCAGAUGUGACGCAUUUGUGCUCCAUGUAUUUCUGCAGUAGUUUUGGUUUUCCACCUCCGACGUAGAGCAGCGUACAGCCACUUCCCUAAACUUUGUCUCAUUCAGAGACCAGAGACCCAAAACAGGGCUCUCUGUCUGUCAGGAGGUCUGAGAUCUACCGUAUCAGCAGAGCAUUAACAUAAUGCACAGCAGACUAUGGUGCAGGUAGAUUAUUUUCUGAAAUAUAGUGAUUUUAUUCUUAUAAUAGCCUAUCAUAACUUUAUUUUUCUCAAAAUAUCACGACUCCUCCAAAUUUCAGAGAACACAGAUGGGUUGAG